rnacentral:rRNA from 1 species
GUGGGGAAUAUUGCACAAUGGAGGAAACUCUGAUGCAGCGACGCCGCGUGAGCGAUGAAGGUUUUCGAAUCGUAAAGCUCUGUCCCAUGGGAAGAUAAUGACGGUACCAUGGGAGGAAGCCCCGGCUAACUACGUGCCAGCAGCCGCGGUAAUACGUAGGGGGCGAGCGUUGUCCGGAAUUAUUGGGCGUAAAGGGUUCGCAGGCGGAAAUAUAAGUCAGGUGUAAAAGGCGGAGGCUCAACCUCCGUAAGCAUUUGAAACUAUAUUUCUUGAGAUAUGGAGAGGUAAGUGGAAUUCCUAGUGUAGCGGUGAAAUGCGUAGAUAUUAGGAGGAAUACCAGUGGCGAAGGCGACUUACUGGACAUAUACUGACGCUGAGGAACGAAAGCAUGGGUAGCAAACAGGAUUAGAAACCCUAGUAGUCC